rnacentral:rRNA from 1 species
AUUGAACGCUGGCGGCAUGCUUUACACAUGCAAGUCGAACGGCAGCGCGGGCUUCGGCCUGGCGGCGAGUGGCGAACGGGUGAGUAAUGCAUCGGAACGUGCCCAGUAGUGGGGGAUAGCCCGGCGAAAGCCGGAUUAAUACCGCAUACGACCUGAGGGUGAAAGCGGGGGACCGAAAGGCCUCGCGCUAUUGGAGCGGCCGAUGUCGGAUUAGCUAGUUGGUGGGGUAAAGGCUUACCAAGGCGACGAUCCGUAGCUGGUCUGAGAGGACGACCAGCCCCACUGGGACUGAGACACGGCCCAGACUCCUACGGGAGGCAGCAGUGGGGAAUUUUGGACAAUGGGGGCAACCCUGAUCCAGCCAUGCCGCGUGCGGGAAGAAGGCCUUCGGGUUGUAAACCGCUUUUGUUCGGGAAGAAAUCCUCUGGGCUAAUACCCCGGGGGGAUGACGGUACCGGAAGAAUAAGCACCGGCUAACUACGUG